GGACACAGGGCUGUUGGGUUGUUUUCAUAUGAACUCCACAGAUGAAGCAUUACUUGGAACAGUCACAGGGACAUCAGGGCCCAUAGGAGGUGUUUCCGUCAUUCAAAAGUCUAGACGUGGUAGUGGACAUGGCAAUAGACAAAGCGUCCAACAGGAGCGGACAAAGAAUAUUACGCACAGCUCUUCUCCAGAGCAGCGACACACCGGUUACACGGCGGUUUGGAUCUCAGGUAAGUAUUCAGGUAAGUAUUGGGUAGGUAUUCCUGUAUGUAUUAGUAUGUAUUAUUUAAUUUUUUUAAAAACAUUUUUUAAUAAUAGGUC
rnacentral:lncRNA from 1 species